ensembl:lncRNA
ACUAACACAGCACUUCACAAACUUUAUUUUGAAUGUGAUAUUUUUCAUGUGAGUCAGCCCACAGUUCCAGUGAAAAUAGAGACUCAGAUCCAGUGGGUCUGACAGGAGGGCUGAGACCUUGCAUUUUGAACAUGCUCAUCCAUGAUGCUAAUAAUUCUGGUCUGUGAAUUGCACUUUGAGUAACAAGUGAUCCCUGAUCCUCUUGGCAUAUGGGAAUCACCUGACCAGCUUAUUAAAACUCCGGAUCUUGGGGCCAGAGGCUGGUCCAGGUUUUGUGGGGCUUGAGGUCAUUCCAUGUAGAGGAUACUCUUUUAAAAAUAUAAAAUGAAUAAUAAGAAAUUGCUGGAGCUCUUCUCAGGACCCUGGAAGGGACUGUGCCUAGAAGCUUCCUAGGUGGCUCAGUGGUAAAAAACAAAAAAAAAAGAAAAAAAAGUCUGCCUGCCUAUGCAGAAGCCGCAGGAGAUGCAGGUUUGAUCCCUGGGUCAGGAAAAUCGCCUGGAGAAGCAAAUGGCAACCCACUCCAGUAUUCUUGCCUGGAAAAUCCCAUGGACAGAAGAAACUGAUGGGCUAAAGUCCGUGGUGUUGCAAACAGUCAGACAUGACUGAGUGACUGAGCAUACAUGCAUAUUCUUCUCAACACUCAACAGAAAUUUCACCUAGAAGGAGCAUCAAAAGAGUGAUGGAGUGAAAAAAUAAAUCAAAGGUGGAAGGAAAGAAAGAAAGCAAGUCACCAAGAAUAUUGUCCGAGAUACUUACAGGUUGGGGAUGACUUUAAGUAAAAGUUUUUAUGUCUCUGAGUUUUUGUUCUUCCCUUUGUAGUUACUGGCAAUAAAAGAGUAAAAAUAAGUAUAGGAUGUAAAAGUACUUUAACUUGCUUAUAGUA